AUGAGGAGCAUGGAUGCUGCUCUCCGCAAAGUGGCCAUGGUGCCGCGUGACAAGCUUGAUGACAACUCCAAGAUCUGGGCCAAUCAAGUCAGGGAGCUGUCAUACGAGAUGGAGGAUCUUGUUGAAAGCUUCCUGGUGGGCGUCCAGGGCUUUGAGCCUGCCGCUAACCCAGACAGCUUCAAAGGGUUCGUGAAGAAGGUGUCCAACUUGUUCACGAAAGGCAAGAAGCGCCACCAGAUCGCCGAUGCGAUCAAGAGCAUCAAGGACCAGGUCCAGGAUGUGGCGGACCGACGUGACCGCUAUAAGAUUGAUGAUCUUGCUGCAAGUUUGGCUGCUGCAACCAUCGUUGACCCUCGGUUGAUGGCUCAGUUCAAAGAUCAGAGAGAGCUUGUUGGCAUCGAGGAGCCAAGAGACGACCUAAUCAAGAGGUUGGCAGAUGGAGAUGAUUGUGUGUCCAAGCAGCAGCUCAAGAUCCUCUCGAUCUUCGGAUUUGGAGGACUUGGCAAGACAACUCUUGCCAAAGCAGUUUAUGACAAGAUACAAGCAGAAUUCGUAUGCAAGGCCUUUGUUUCGGUUGGUCAGAAUCCUAAUCUGAAGAAUGUUCUCAUAGGUAUUCUCCUCCGAAUUGACGAAGACUCUUGUGCCAAUGCUACACUGUUAGAUGAGAGAUGUGGUGGCAUACCGCUAGCUAUCACUACAAUAGCUAGCUUAUUGGCCAGCAAACCUGUAAAUGAUUGGUCUGGGGUGUAUGAUUCUAUUGGUUUUGGGAAUGAAGAUAACAAAGAAGUGGAUAACACAAGGAAGAUAUUGUUAUAUAGCUACUAUGAUCUUCCGUAUUAUCCACGGCUUUGUUUAUUGCACCUAAGCAUAUACCCUGAAGAUUUUGAGAUAGAAAAGCACACUUUGAUAUGGAAGUGGGUGGCUGAAGGUUAUGUCCUGGAGGAAGCAGGAAAAGGGUUAUUUGAGAUUGGAGAGAGAUACUUCAACGUGCUCAUAGAUAGAAGCAUGAUCCAGGCAGUGGAGGUGCUAUAUCACAGCAUCAUAUAUGCUUGUCGUGUGCAUGAUUUGGUGCUUGAUAUGAUUCAUUUUCUAUCAGAAGACGGAAGUUUUGUUACUGCAUCGAACAGUAACAGGACAUCUCCACGUAUUACUGCUCGUAGGUUAGCCAUAAAUCAUGAAGUCAUAGAGCAGGAUGGAUCUGUGGCUAACUCAAGCGUGCAGCAAGUGAGGUCAUAUAAUGCCACCAUGUGUCAAUUUAGUAUGUUGCCAUUGCUUUCAAACUUUAAAGCUCUACGUAUGUUGGCUUUAGAAGAGUGCACUUUCACGGGAAGUGAGCAAUUCUUUAUGAAGCUGGAAGAUUCUCCUUAUCAUCUUAAGCAUCUUGGGAGGCUAAUUCACCUGAGGUACCUUGGGAUCUCGGACCAGCUUAGGAGCUUAGAGGUCCCUAAAGAAAUAGGGGAUCUAAGGUUUUUGCAGGUACUGAACUUGAGCGGAGCUUACAUAAAAAAACUGCCUCAAAGUGUUGGUCGGCUAACACAACUGAAGUGCCUGCGCUUUUGCGGUUCUAGCAUGGAGGUGUUGGAGUGGAAUAAUCUAACAUCUCUGGAAGAGCUACAAUUGCAACCUGCCUCUCCAGACUUUCUGAAAGGGCUGGGCAAGAUGAAGAAGCUGAGGGAGUUGAAUAUACUCUUUUAUGAGGACGAUAAUAUGUUGUUCAAAGAUUUGAUGGGACUUCUUGUCAAUCUGCAAAAACUUCAAGUCCUAAUGGUUAUUGGUUGGUAUGGAGAGAAUCCUGAGCCAUGGUCUGAUUACGCUGGCUCUGUGGCCCUUGGGCACCUCCGUCAUCUGAAACUGGGUGGCCUGCUUCCUGGGCUGCCAGUGUGGAUUAACUCCUCAUGCCUCCCGAACCUCUGCCACUUGUAUGUGAAACUGACGGCUACGGACUCGCAGGAUAUGGAGAUCCUCGGGAGGUUCUCCGAGCUCAUUACUCUGUGCAUUUGUUGCAAGGAUGGCGCUGCUUUUCCUGAUACCAUGGAGGAGGGUGCAUUCCCCAAGUUGAGAUACCUGGAACUGAAAAAUUCUAACCAACCGAGAUUUGUACGGGGAGCAAUGUCCAACCUUGAGUGUUUUGAGUUCACCGGCCUGGUACGGGCCAAUGGCUUGGACUUUCUUAGCCUGGUGAACCUCCCUCGUCUUGAGAAAGUUGAUGCUCAAAUCAGAGGCGAAACUAGGAUGGGCAUCGACCUGUUGCCGGCACAUGCGUCGUUGAAGCAUGCAGUUGAGAUCCAUCCCAACCAUCCCGCACUCAAGAUUCACGGCAGUCAAAUGGAUGAUUGA
rnacentral:rRNA from 1 species